GAUGAAGAACGCAGCGAAAUGCGAUAAGUAGUGUGAAUUGCAGAAUUCAGUGAAUCAUCGAAUCUUUGAACGCACAUUGCGCCCCUUGGUAUCCCGAGGGGCAUGCCUGUUCGAGCGUCAUUUCACCACUCAAGCCUGGCUUGGUGUUGGGCGACGUCCUCUUUGGGGACGCGCCUCGAAACGCUCGGCGGCGUGGCACCGGCUUUAAGCGUAGCAGAAUCUUUCGCUUUGGAAGUCGGGGCCCCGUCUGCCGGAAGACCUGCUCGCAAGGUUGACCUCGGAUCAGGCAGGGAUACCCGCUGAACUUAAGCAUAACAAUAAGCGGAGGA
rnacentral:misc_RNA from 1 species